GGAGGAAAGUAGGGGAUCGUAAGACCUUGCGUUAAUGGAGCGGCCGAUAUCUGAUUAGCUAGUUGGUGAGGUAAAGGCUCACCAAGGCGACGAUCAGUAGCUGGUUUGAGAGAACGACCAGCCACACUGGAACUGAGACACGGUCCAGACUCCUACGGGAGGCAGCAGUGGGGAACUUUGGACAAUGGGGGCAACCCUGAUCCAGCCAUUCCGCGUGAGUGAAGAAGGCCUUCGGGUUGUAAAGCUCUUUCGCAAGGGAAGAAAACUCGAUCUCUAAUAUAGGUUGAGGCUGACGGUACCUUGAUAAGAAGCACCGGCUAACUACGUGCCAGCAGCCGCGGUAAUACGUAGGGUGCGAGCGUUAAUCGGAAUUACUGGGCGUAAAGCGUGCGCAGGCGGUUUUGUAAGUCGGAUGUGAAAUCCCCGGGCUUAACCUGGGAACUGCG
rnacentral:rRNA from 1 species